rnacentral:lncRNA from 1 species
GAAGGAAACAGAGGGAGGAAGGAGAGGUGAUGAAGGAAACAGGGAGGAGGGAGAGGUGAUGAAGGAAAUGGAGGAGGGAGAGGUGAUGAUGGAAACAGGGAGGAGGGAGAGGUGAUGAUGGAAACAGGGAGGAGGGAGAGGUGAUGAAGGAAAUGGAGGAGGGAGAGGUGAUAAUGGAAACAGGGAGGAGGGAGAGGUGAUGAAGGAAACAGGGAGGAGGGAGAGGUGAUGAUGGAAACAGGGAGGAGGGAGACGUGAUGAUGG